rnacentral:tRNA from 1 species
UGGGGCGUCGCCAAGUUGGCAAGGCAUCAGGUUUUGGUCCUGACAUUCGAGGGUUCGAGUCCUUCCGCCCCAGCCA